AACGUAGGAGACAAACGUUAUCCGGAGUUACUGGGCGUAAAGGGCGUGUAGGUGGUAGUGUAAGUCUGGCGUGAAAUUUUUCGGCUUAACCGGGAAAGGUCGUCGGAUACUGCACAACUAGAGGACGGUAGAGGCGUGUGGAAUUCCAGGUGUAGCGGUGAAAUGCGUAGAUAUCUGGAGGAACACCGGUGGCGAAGGCGGCAUCCUGGACCGGCAUUGACGCUGAGGCGCGAAAGCUAGGGGAGCAAACGGG
rnacentral:rRNA from 1 species